AGAACAGCUACAGUACAUUGAUGACAUCAUUGUGUGGGGGAACAUGGCAAGGGAAGUGUUUGAGAAAGGAGGAAAGAUCAUCCAGAUUCUCCUGGAAGCUGAUUUUGCCGUCAAAAAGAGCAAAGUCAAGAGACCUGCCAAGGAGAUCCAGUUCCUGGGAGUACAGUGGGAAGAUGGGUGAUGUCAGAUUCCCACUGAGGUCAUCAAUAAGAUCACUGUGAUGUCUCCACUGACCAGCAAGAAGGAAACACAGGCUUUCCGAGGCGCCAUAAGCUUUUGGAGAAUGCACAUUCCUGAGUACAGCCAGAUUGUGAGCCCUCUCUACCUGGUUACCCGCAAGAAGAAUGAUUUCCACUGGGGCCCUAAACAGCAGCAGGUUUUGCCCAGAUCAAGCAGGAGAUCGCUCAUGCAGUAGCCCUUGGCCCAGUCAGGAUGGGACCAGAUGUGAAGAACGUGCUCUACUCUGCAGCCGGGAACCAUGGCCUGUCCUGGAGCCUUUGGCAGAAGGUGCCUGGUGAGACUCGAGGCCGACCACUGAGAUUCUGGAGCCGAAGUUACAGAGGGUCCAAAGCCAACUACACUCCAACAGAGAAGGAAAUCUUGGCUGCCUAUGAAGGAGUUCAAGCAGCCUCGGAGGUGAUUGGCACAGAAGCACAACUCCUCCUGGCACCCCAACUACCAGUGCUGGGGUUCAAAGGAAAAGUUCCCUCUACCCAGCACACCACCGACGCCACAUGGAGCAAAUGGACUGCCCUCAUCAAUCAGCGUCCCCGAACUGGAAACCCGAAUCGCCCUGGGAUUUUGGAAGUAAUUACCAACUGGCCAGAAGGUGAAAAUUUGAUCUCAUCGAUGAAGAGGAACAAGAGCAAGUGACACGUGCCAAGGAAACUCCACUGUAUAAUCAGCUGCCAGCAGAAGAAACAUGCUAUGCUCUUUUCACUGACGGUUCUUGUCGCAUUGAUAGUGGAGGGUUAAAAAAAAUAUAAUAAUUUCUGCAUGGCAAGCGGCUAACUGCAGGUGAUGGGGAGCUAGAAGACGCACGGGCUGAAUCCUGACGCAGUCUGGGCUUGGAACAAAUGUCAGCUUACUGCAACUAGCAUCAUACUAUUGUUUUAACUGAAUCAAGUGUGACUCCAGCCUGGGAGAUAAUUGGGAAGCAUUAUCUUAACCAAAUCAAGCAUAACUCAGGGUAAAGCAUAGGUAUGAUUUAAGAUAGUAACUAAGGAUUAGGGGAGCCAGUAGCUAGGGGUGGAUGUUAGUUAACAUAUGUGUAACUUGAAGCUAUAAAAUCACAAAGUAACUUGGUAUCCUUGGGCACAAGAUUUGGGUGUCCCACUGCCCCUGUGUCCCGCAUGCUGUAAUAAAGAACCACAUAUGAUUGCCUUCGUGUGGUUAUAUGUUUUCCUACGCUAACAUUUUGGUGACUCAGGACGGGACCUUGUGGGUGCAGCCAGGACCUCGCAACCCGAUCACGCUCCAGCCGGCACCAGGUGAUUUCUCGGGGGGAGCCCAUCAGCGCCGCGACCCUCGCCGCUCACAACGACCCCUGGUGAGAGAAAGUAGGGAACUAUUUGCCUUUGAGUGGGAACAUCCAGAAAAUGGAAGAAAGACCCAGCUCACCUGGACCUGAUUACUGAUGAGGUACAAGAAUUCUCAGACCCUAUUUGGGAGUCAGCUGGCAAAGGACCUGGAAAUCUGGACCAGAGAAGGGCAAGUACCGAGAGACCAAUAUCUAAUUACUCCAGUAUGUAGAUGACAUUGUGAUUGAAACCGAGGAAGAAGUGACCUGCAUAGAGGUAACCACUCAGAUUUUAAAAUUCAUUAGGAAUGGGAGGGUAUAAGGUGUCGAGAGAAAAAGCACAAAUUGCCCAACAGACUGUGAUUUACCUGGGAUGUAAAACCUCACAAGGGCAGAGAAAACUGGGCACUAAUUGUAUUCAAGCUAUCUGUGUUAUUCCAGAGCCCCAGAAUCUACAUGAGCUGUGGAUUUUCCUUGGAAUGACCAGAUGGAUCAUGGACUAUGGACUGAUUGCAAGACCCUUGUAUGAGGCUCAGGAGACGCAGCUGUUCACCUGGGGCAAACCACAGAAAGAGGCCUUCCAGAAGUUAAAGGAAGCAUUGACAACUGCCCCUGCGCUGGGGUUACCUGAUCUGUCUAAAGACUUUCAGCUGCAUGUGCAUGAAAGGCAGCACUGGGAGUCCUGACCCAACGACUGGGAAGCUGGAAAAGGCUGGUGGGUUACUUUUCCAAACAACUCGACAACGUAAGUGCCAGAUGGCCUUCAUGUCUGCGGGCAGUGGCAGCUACCGUGCUGUUGAUACAGGAAGCCAGGAAGCUCACGAUGGGAAAACACAUAGAUGUCUAUGUGCCACACAUGGUAACUACAGUCCUGGAACAAAAGGGGGACCAUUGGCUCUCUCCAAGCCGGAUGAUGAAAUUCCAGGUAACCCUGACUGAGCAGGAUGAUGUUGCACUAAAAACAACUAACCUCUUGAAUCCAGCUCUGUUUCUAGGUACCACAGCUGAGGAAGGUCUAUUAAAGCAUGACUGUGUAGAAGUAAUCGAGCACACCUUUUCAGCAAGAACAGACCUGAAAGACGUCCCCCUAGAGCAACCAGAGUGGGAACUCUUUACAGAUGGAAGCACCUUCAUGGAGAAUGGAACCAGAUACGCAGGAUAUACGGUAGCCACGAUUGAUGUAGUAGUGGAGGCAAAAGCACUCCCACCUAAUACAUCUGCCCAGAGGGCAGAACUAAUCGCACUAACCAGAGCACUAGUGCUGAGUGAGGGAAAGACAGUAAAUAUACGGACUUACUCCAAAUAUGCCUUCGGAGUAGUGCAUGUUCCAUACAGAGCUUUAUGGAAAGAAAGGGGACUGCUGUCCUCCCAAGGUACACAUAUUAAACAUCAAGAUGCAGUCCUACAACUGAUAGAUGCAGUACAAAAACCUGAACAAGUAGCAAUCAUGCACUGCCAAACACAUCAAUCAGGCAACUCCAAAAUUUGUGAAGGAAAUCGAAGAGCAGAUUGGGCAACCUGCCAGGUAGCGCGAGAGGUGCAGAAAACAAUGGCAUUGAUGCUGUCAAGACCUAAUAUCUCCUAAUUCAAUUUGCCUCCUAAGCCAAAAUAUACAAUAGAAGAUGACAAACUACCACAACUGCUGAAGGCACAGAAGAACACAGAAGGGUGGAAAACUCUCGCUCGGCUUCGAAGUGUCCUUGUGUGGAACAGACCACUGGCCCUGGAGAAUCCAGUCCACAAUAUCGAACCAGGAGAUGAAGUAUACAUCAGAACCUGGAACGAAGAACCACUAAAAGAGAAGUGGACUGGUCCCCAUCAGGUACUGCUAACCACCUUUACAGCAGUCAAAGUGGCUGGAGUGGAACCCUGGAUACACUACACGCGUGUGAAGAAGGUCUUUCGUGAAGCCCAGUCGUUGGCUGCAGAAACUAUAGAACCAACAAAGCUGAGGCUAAAACAUCUGUAACUGCUCAAAUGGUAUUGGUAAUUGUGCUCAUGCUCUUCUUGUGGGUAAUGUUACUUUCAUGGAUACUAAUGUCACCAGUGGGGAUUGCUGUUACUUUGGGAUAUGGGAUACAGAAGGGUCAACUAACCACUCUUCAUUCUAGAAUGAAGAAAGAGGUACAAGCAAAGACACAAGUAAUAGAAGUCUCUAAUACAAUUUGGGCUGAAAAUGUAAUGAUUGGAUUGGUCAGAGACUUUGCCAAAAUGCAGAAUACCAGGAGAAUAACAGCCUGUCUGCCAAUACCAAAGGCAGCAGGGGACCCAAUAAGCUGGGGAAUAAAUAAUGUCAAAAUUACCUGACAUAGGAGGGAACAAAACAGUCAAAUGUAAACAAGUACCACAGUCAAGAGUGGUAGUCAAAGAGUACUGGAAGCUAACAGAGAGAGCCUAUAUGCAACCUAUGAGAAAAUCAGAUUGUACUCUUAGUAAUGGCAAAUUAGGAGAAAUCGUAGAGUGGUGGGUUAAGGACCAACACCUUGCAAAAUGGGAAUGUUGGUUGGCACGCUAUCAAAAGAUCAGGGAAAACGCUACAGAGAGCAUUGUGGUGUGGAAGUGUGAAGAAAAGGAUUGGAAAGGAUUAGAACUCUGGGACAAUGCAUGGUCUAUGAGUACCCUCCAGAAAUUCCAAUAUAUGACAAGCACACCUUGAUGCAUUAAAUGGAAAGGCUCUGAAAAUGACACAGAUCCCACGGUGACAAGUACUGGUACUAGCAGUCAGAAAGAGGCAAAUAAAGUAGGUUGGUGAGUAUGUAAUAAAAUUUAUGAAUGCACCUCUGAUGAUGUGGAAAUAAAACAGUGGUCACCAUUGGCAGUAGCCUUAUGAAUCGGUUGUGCUUGCAGGAAGAUUAGACACAAACAAGGCAAAAUAGAUUCCAAGAUUAUAGUAGGAUGUAGCAGGAGUACAAUCUGAAGUCCAGGACCAUUUGUAUGGGCAAUGAGAGAUGGCACAUGGACAACACACUUGCCUAUGGACGGGGAGGUAAGAGAAAUCACCCCGGGCCUUCCCACUUUAUGCCCAAUUUGAAAGAAGUCCCCAUUUAAUGGGAGCCAUGAGCCCUUGCAGAUAAGAGCAAAACGAGAUGUCCCAGGAGACAAAAACCCCGAUGACACUUGGCAGGAACCCUCUAGUGGAGUAAAAAUUGGGUGGGCCCUAGAGUCUUUGUUUGGUCCAGCUGCAAAUUAUCGAAAUAGAAAAAUGCUAUAUAGACUCACAGGUCAGGUAGAUAGAUUAGCAAGAAUCACACAAGAAGGAUUUAAGGAACUCAACAUGCAAUUACAAGCCACCACCAAAAUGACUUUACAAAAUCAAUUGGAUUUAGAUAUGUUACUCAUGAAAGAACAUGGAGUGUGUGGAUAUCUAAAAGGACAAAUUGACCAUUGCUGUAUCCACAUCCCAAAUGUAACUGCAGAUGUAGAACAUGAUAUCAGCCAGUUGAAACAGAUAGAGCAUGAGGCACAAGAAGAACGAAAACAUUUAGCUAUCAGCUGGUUAGACAAAAUCUUUAAAGGAUUAGGAUGGAAUGUGAAUUCAUGGAUAAAGUCUAUCCUUGAAAGUCGGAUCAUUUUACUACUUAUAUUUUUAGCAAUUUGGUUAGUUUACAGAAUCCUGAAGAGAGAGAUACAGAAAAAGGCAUCUUGGAACAGAACCAUAAUGAAGGCAUUGGCAUGGAAUCCAUAUCCAGCGCCUUCGAGCCGCAACAACAUCCGGGACAAAGCCCAUGACAACCGAGGAUUUGAAGGAGCUGAACAUGGGCCAGCGCUGCUCAGACACACACGGGAUCGUCUUUGAGGACAUGCAAGUCCCCAAGGAGAGCAUGCUGAUUGCGGAGGGCGCCAGCUGCAAGAUCACUAUGGGCGCCUUUGACAAGACCCGGCCCCCGAUGGUGGUGGGGGCCGUGGGGCUGGUGAGGUGAGCGCUGGAUGAGGUCACAAGGUACGCGCUGGAGAGGAAAAGCUUCAGGAAGCCCAUCGUGGAGGUGCGCUUCGAGUUACACACAGGAAAGUCUGAUCCAACAGCUCCACAGAACUCCCUGAACAAACCUCGCAAGUGCAUUGAAUUUGUAGAUUAAGAAAUUAAGAUAAAAUUAUAUAUUGGGGAAGAUUUACUCUCAGAAAGGCCUGGCUCUGGAGGAGUCCCCGUCCUGGUGGCUCUUGGUGACGCAAGCCACAGCCCUUCCCCAGCGAACCUCAGGCUAACCCGACCACCCUGUGGCCCACAGCUCUAGAGAGAGUGGAGCUGCUGAGGUAGUGAAGAAGCGCAGCCCAAUGUUAUACGGCGUCUAGAGAUGUGGCAAAGAAAGAGAGGGAGACUUCUGUCUGCACUAACCAGAUGAGUUUAUUUGUGGUGGGAGACAGGACGAAAAGCCCCCAGCACGAACUGAGCUGGGACUUACAAACGAGGGUGGUACAAGAGGAGGGGUAAGGACAAGAACCAAUCAAAAUACAAACCGGCAGAGCAUGACACAAACUUGGGUAAAUUGGGGCUCUUUGGGGGAGGAAACUUCACGGGAGUACCAACGAGGGGCCAAACUCAGGGGAAACUUCUAGAACUUGGGGAAAGGCUUCAGGGGAUUGAAAGGUAAAGGGAUGGUCUGGGACUGGGACUGACAAGAGGGGGGAGGAGAAAACUUGGGAAAAACCAACUCAAUAGGGGAGACCAGAACGGUUCAUUCAAAUUAAAGAACCCACUGCCACACUUAGGGACACAGGUCAGUGAUGACCAUGAUGGUGCUGGGGCGAGGCUUGGCCUCGAUGACCUUAACGGUCUUGUCCAACCCAAAUGAUUUCGUGAUCCCAAGCAGAAGGCUCCUUCUCCUGCGGUAUCACAAUCCUCUGGGGCUCACCCCACGGAUCUCCAAUCCCCCAGCACCAGGCUGUGGCAUUCCUGCUGGCAGAGAUGGCCAUGAAGGUGGAGCUGGCCCGGCUGGGGUACCAGCGAGCGGCCUGGGAGGUGGAUGCCGACCGCAGCAACACCUUCUACGCCUCCAUCGCCAAGGCCUUCACUGAGGACGUCGCCAACCAGGUGGCCACUGAUGUUGUGCAGAUCUUUGGGGGCAACGGCUUCAACACAGAAUAUCCCGUGGAGAAGCUCAUGAGGGAUGCCAUGACAAAAUCUAUCAGAUCUACCAGGGCACAGCACAGAUCCAGCGAGUGAUCAUUGCCCGUGAGCACCUGGGCAGGUACAAGUCCUGAGGGAUGCCCCAGUUCUAGGCCUGCUAUUCCAGGGAAAGGGAUUGUGCUGCAUUUCUCCAUCAGAAUAACAUGGGAAAAUCCCUUUUCCAUCCAACUCCUGUUCUUGUGCCUGACCCAGCACAGGCUCUGGGACCCCAUCCAUGCCCUGAGCUCAUCCCACUGACUGAUCAUCCCAAACAUCCCUAAACCCCACACAGAUCUUAGCGCUCUUUCCAAAUCUCCCUUUGACUUUCAGCAGCAAAGGAGACAAAACCCUUCCCCAGCAAACCUGGAUGAGCAAACCUGAUGGUCGGAUUUGGGCUGUUUCCAUGUUUUUAAUGGCACCAAUCCACUCGCUUUGUUUAUUCCUGGGGCUUAGGUGAUGGCAACUGGAUCAGCCUCAGGGAACUUAAAAACCCCUGACUUUUCCUCCUGUGGAAGGGCCCAGCUGGCUGUGGCACUUAGGCUCCAGGGCCCCAGUUCCCAAAGAAAAGAACAGGGCAUAUGCCUUUAUUAAUAUUCAGCUCUUUAUUAUAGUGAUCAGCCCUUAAUUAAAGUCAUCAGCAGGAUUGUAGAGUCCAACAGGAGUUUUUCACGCUGCUGUGGCAAUCUGAAGGAGCAGGUACUGUUGCAGUUCAUC